GUUGAGUUUAUCAUAGAAAUCAGUUAUUAUUUACACCAAGAGUCAUCAUAUUGACAUUUUAUUAAAGAUAAAAGAUUGUGUGCAUUACAAAUAUCUGAGGAUAGUGGACAAGCUUAUUCCAUUUGGUAAUGCAGUGGUUGACUCAACAUGCAGUCCGUUCGUAAUGGUAAAUCAUCAUUGCACCAAGUUAACAACAGUUUACAGUAUGUACAACACAUCUAUUUACAAUACAGCAAAUACAUUUUAUAUAAUGAAUGUAGAAAUACAUUGACAAGUUAUAUUUACAGAUAUCUCCAGUAAAAAGUGGAUACCAGAUUAUGACUUUUGUUCUUCCCAUGCUGUCAUUGUGCUGAUAGCUAAAUAGGUCUGCAUCAGGCUGGCAAAUAUAACACCUGGGGCGCCAAGGUUAACAUCUAUAUAACACAAUUUAAAUAUCUCAUUUUACCAUGGAGGGAUAAAUAGAGGAGGUGGCUGAUUCAUCAAAAUGAAUUGCUCUAAAUCUCAUUAUUUUCUAAUUAUACCCAUGAGCACUGGUGUUGUCCAAAGAAAAGAAGGACGAAACCAUUGUGUAUACAACAAACCAAUAAUAAUGCAUUGUUUAGCUUUGGGCCUUAUAUGUACAGGAAUGUGUUCAAAGCUAAAAUCAUUAAAGUUGAUUUUCCAGGACAAAUACAAAGGCCAACAAUGAAGAGUAUCAACAUAUUCAAAUAUUUAAUCAAUAAAAUUCAAAUAAUUACACACAUAUGCAUGGAAAUUGUGCACCGAUGCAGUGAAACCCCUGAGAAUCAAUGCUACAUUACCAUGUCUGAUAAUUAAUUGACUUCCCUUGAAUUACAAAAUAGUCCUGUUAUAACCAAUAAAAAUAAUAAGAUCCAUAGAGUAUAAUGUACAGUGCUACGUCAUAUCUUCAUGAAAACUCUUUACAACGUGCCAUAGUUUGGGCAUCAUCACAACAAAUGUUCUGGUUUCAAAUCUUAUAUUCUGCAUCUACCUAUUCACAUUAGGAGAUCAAUAAACAUGAAUUAGCUAACAUGUAUUAGUGGUAUAAAGACAAGAAUAACAUGUCUAAAACCUUAAUGCAGUUGGCUUAGAGAAAGCGAACUUAAGCAACCAAAAUGUAAGUCAAAACAGAUCCAAGUUGGUUAUUUUUGUCUGGAAGUUCUAAACUAAUUUUAAUUUACUGUUUCAUGCAUACGCUCCAAAGAUAAUUAAAUUUAACUGCACCAAUGGGAGAGGAAAAUGAAACCAUAUUUUAAGUCUUUUUAAUUUUUUACAAUAGCUUCUAUCAUAAAUUGGAUUAUAAGAAUUUUGAUUGUUAGAUAACGUUAUAGUAUCAAUGAGUUGGAGGUCCUAUCUUUUGCUUUUAGUGUAAUAUAUUUGUCAGAGGUCACAGCCCCAAUGUUUAAGAAUGAUAUAGUAUUAUGUUAAGGUGUUAUGUUAAGAUUGUGAAUUUCUGAUCUUGCAUGGAUUUUAUUUUUUGAAGACUUCACCCCCUUUCUGGAACUCCCCUUUUGUCCCACCCGUCCCAUCCCUCUUUAUAGGAGGAGAGUAUUGGGAGGUAUGUAUUAUUAAUGCAAAUAAAACCUAACCUUAAGUUUACAGUAAAACAUUUAACAGUACUAUGUAUCUGGCUUUUCCCCUACAAGUUAGUGCUUUUGGAUAAAUUAAAAAAGAACAAUUCCCCAAAACUGCAAACACUGAAACAUAUUUUAAAAAUAGCAUUAUUUCUAAAAAAAAAUUCUUUCAUUUUGAAGGAUAAAAUAUAAUUUUUUUAAAGUACAAGAGUUUUUUUUUCAAUAAUAAAGGCUCUUAAAUAAAGGAUACAAAUUAUGCUUUUGUAUUUGAUUUUGUACAUCUGAUUUUGUAUAAAUAUGCAAUACUAAAUAGUUAUUUAUUUAUGUAUGUGAUAUGUGUGUAUAUUGCUUAUUGGUAUAAACCUGUUGAUACACAUAGGGGUAUUUACUAAGGUGUGGAAUGCAAUUGACGUGGAGACUUUUUCAAAUUCAGAUAUUUUGGAGUAAAAUUUAAAGUUCACUUUAAAUUCCCAGGCUAGUUCAGUGGUUUCCCAAUCCAGUCCUCACGGCACCCGAACCAGUCUAGGAUUUAGUGAUUACAUAAUUGUGUCUAAGGUGUUUGUAGAAAACCAAAACCACCUUAGACACAACUGGGUAAGCCCUAAAUCCUGGACUGGUUGGGAUGUCUUGAGGACUCGUUUGAGAACCACUGUAAAAUUAGGGGAUGAAUUUGUAUGAUAUAUUGAAAUUCAAAACACAUUUCUCAAAUUUAAAAUUUUAACGUGCAGAGUUACUGUCAUCACAUAUAUUGACAGUCGAUAUAUCAUAACUAUAAAUGUCUAAUUUUUCAUAAACAAAACUCUAAAUAUUUUUUGAGAAACAUGGCACAUCUGGCAUUUAUGUAAAUAAACUUGAAAUAGAACUUGAAAUCUUGAUGCAAUAGAUUGAAAACUGCCAUAAAAGUGGCAUUUUUGUGUAUAAAAUAUAUAGAAAUCGAUUGCUUUUAUUGGUGCAUUGGGACAAGUCCUUUCUUGAAAAUUAUGACUUUUCCCUAUGCACCAAUAAAACCAAUUGAUUUCUGUAUAUUUUAUACACAAAUACACCACUUUUAUGGCAGUUUUCAAUCUAUUGCAUCAAGAUUUCAAGUUCUAUUUAUACUACAGAUUUUGAAAUUAUGGAUUAGAUGAAUUUAACAAUUGCAGUAGAAUUUUGAUUGUGAAAUUAGUAAUUUUAGCCAAUUUAAACCUCAGCAUUUUGUAUAAUGUCAACAACAAAUGUAUUGAUCUACAGGUAAGAGGAGAUGGGACUUUUGUCUUAGAAGUUAAAUACAGUGGGACCUCAGAACUCGGGUCCCUCACCCGAACAAUUCUGUAUUGGAACAAACAUUUUGAGAAAAAAAUGUCUUGGUACAUGAACGAUCCUUAGUACACGAACAAAUCAUGCCACUAAGAUGUUAAAUUAUAACAUGUCAUAUGUCAUACUUUAGUCACAUUUUAAAUGCCAGAAGAACAGUUACCUAUCCCCAUCCAAACAAUAAUAUUUUUUCUCCUUUCCACUUACGCCAUCAACUCUCAUGAUUACAGGUAAAGUGAAGUUACAUUUUCAUUUCAUGUACAGUACAUUGUGUUUAUUAAUUUUUUUCUUUAUGAUUUUAUGCAUGUAAGGUAUUAUUAAACUGUAAAAUUUGUGUUAAAAUUCUAUAAUUUUGGGGGUCUGGAACAAAUUAAUCAAAUUUACAUUAAUUCUCAUGGGAAAUGUUGAUUCGGUUCUUGAACAAAUCUGAACUCGAACACCGUUCUGGAAUGGAUUAAGUUUGAGUUUUGAGGUUGAUAUUAAUAUCCACUGGAUAUUAAAUAGUAUCUUUUAACUUUCCUGAAAUCCAAUGUGAAGGUGAGCAGUUUGGUAGGCAAUCCGCAUUUCUAAUUAGGCAAGUAAAACAUACCCUAACUAAAUUAAUGUGAAUGUUGGAAGAUAAUAUAUUUUUCCAGCUUAUCCAAUUUUAUUUUAAACACAUCAAUCCGUUAUAAGAAUAAUUGGUGCAGAACCACCUCCUACAUUUAACACAUUUAAUAAUUAUGUAUUUAUUAAUACAGCUCUUACAGAUCUUAAUACUCAAUAGAUCUAGAUUUAUAUUUCAUCAACCUCUACGCUCCGAGAUGUUCUAGGAGAGAAACUGUCACCUUCAUACCUCCUUCAUCUAUGACUCGCUAAACUAUUAUUUAACAACAUGCCGCUUAUUUAAGAGAACCCCAUACAUUUUUUUACUUUAAUAUAUAAAGUCCCUAAUCGGCAAUGUACUCUGAAAUUGAUCAAUGACAGCUAUACUGUUCUAUGAUAAAAUAACAGACUGUUCAAUUAUUUAAACAUAAAAUCUGUUAACUAAAUAGUAUUAUGAUGUUUAAAAAAAAAAAAAAAAUAUAUAUAUAUAUAUAUACAAAUAUAUAUAUACACAAUUCGAUGGGAGUUUUGCACUCCAGCUCUCCUUUGAGUUUUGGCCUGGUGCUCAGCUGCUCAUAAAUAUAAC
rnacentral:lncRNA from 1 species